rnacentral:rRNA from 1 species
AGAGUUUUGAUUUCCUGCUCAGAACGAACGCUGGCGGCAGGCUUAACACAUGCAAGUCGAGCGCAUCCUUCGGGGUGAGCGGCAGACGGGUGAGUAACGCGUGGGGAUGUGCCUAGAGGUGGGGAAUAACUGUGGGAAACUACAGCUAAUACCGCAUAAGCCCGAAAGGGGAAAGAUUUAUCGCCUUUAGAUCAACCCGCGUCAGAUUAGCUAGUUGGUGUGGUAAUGGCGCACCAAGGCGACGAUCUGUAGCUGGUCUGAGAGGAUGAUCAGCCACACUGGGACUGAGACACGGCCCAGACUCCUACGGGAGGCAGCAGUGGGGAAUAUUGGACAAUGGGCGCAAGCCUGAUCCAGCCAUGCCGCGUGAGUGAUGACGGCCUUAGGGUUGUAAAGCUCUUUUAACAGGGACGAUAAUGACGUACCU